rnacentral:rRNA from 1 species
CUUGGUCAUUUAGAGGAAGUAAAAGUCGUAACAAGGUUUCCGUAGGUGAACCUGCGGAAGGAUCAUUAUUGAUUUUUAAAGAUGUGCUGGCACUCCUUCACCGGUUUGCAUGUGCACUCUGCAAAAUCUCCUUCUCUUACCCCACUGUGCACACCCAAGUAGACAAACAGAGUUACAGAGCAAUCUGUGUAAUUCCUGAUUUGCCUAUGUUUUUAUCAAACACCAAUAACAAUAUCAGAAUGAUCUAUAUAGUAAGCUUUUAACAAGCUGAAAUUUAAUACAACUUUCAACAACGGAUCUCUUGGUUCUGGCAUCGAUGAAGAACGCAGCGAAAUGCGAUAUGUAAUGUGAAUUGCAGAAUUCAGUGAAUCAUCGAAUCUUUGAACGCACCUUGCACCCUCUGGCAUUCCGGAGGGUAUGCCUGUUUGAGUGUCAUUAAUCUCUCAACGCAAGAAACUUUGUCUUCUUGUGCUUGGAUAUUGAAGGUUUUGCUGGCGCAAACAACUGUCAGCUCCUUUUAAAUGUAUUAGCAGAGCAGUAUGGGACUGGCCUCGGUUUGAUAAGAAACUUUAUCUAUGCUGUCGCUGGGUUUUCCUCUUUGUGCUCAGCUUCAAAUUGUCUUCGGACUGUCUCUUGAGGCAACAAAAUUUCUAUUGAUCGACCUCAAAUCAGGUAGGACUACCCGCUGAACUUAAGCAUAUCAAUAAGCGGAGGA